UCGAAUAUGUUGCCGAUGUAUAUGCUCGGCUGAGAAAACACAAAAUUUAUUGUGGUGGGUGUUUUUAUGGUGACCUGCUACUCAUUUGAGAUACAGAUAGACUACUAGUUAUUCAGCAUUGUGGAUAUGGAAAAUGAUAUGUUGUUAUAUGUUUUCCUGAGACUACAUUCAUCCGUACUCUUGGAUUGGAUCUUCUCAAAAGAUGUGAGCCUGGGUUGGCCAUCUUCAAGAGUAAUCCUGCUCCUAUCUAUGGUCUGCUCUUAUCUUCAAGGUUAUAUUUAUGUUGCACUAACCAACAUGGUAGUAAUGUCGAACAGAGUCGAGCACUGACCACUUUGCUCUGCCUGCUGUCUCAGAUUUCAAUUUCAUAGGCUUAGUUCCCUGAUUUGCUUGCUUGACUGAAUUUAAAUAGAUGGCUGAAUAAGACUGAUUGAUGUAGUUGGAUUUAUGAAGUUCACUGUACUUGUUAGAAAAUAGAUGGCUGUUGUGGCAGUUGCUUUAACAAAUAAAAAAUAAUGCAUCUUCUUGAGUUUGUACACACCUAUUUUGCAUGAAGUUCAUGUUUUUCUUUGCUUUGUUCUGAAAUCUUCUUGUGAACGCAUACAUUCUUACAGGAUAAAUGAUUUGUGAAGCUUACCUACCGGAGAUACCUCGAUGAUAAUGCUGCUAAGUUAUUCUGUCUUUGGAGCCUAGGGCCUGGAUUGCAAACUCAAGAUACAGACUGUAAAGAGCCUUCUGCUCUUGGGCGUGGACCCUGACGAGGUCUGCAUGAG
rnacentral:lncRNA from 1 species